AUUGAACGCUGGCAGCAGGCCUAACACAUGCAAGUCGAACGGUAACAGGAAACAGCUUGCUGUUUCGCUGACGAGUGGCGGACGGGUGAGUAAUGUCUGGGCAACUGCCUGAUGGAGGAGGAUAACUACUGGAAACGGUAGCUAAUCCCGCAUAACGUCGCAAGACCAAACAGGGGGACCUUCGGGCCUUGUGCCCUCGGCUUUGCCCAGAUGGGAUUAGCUUGUAGGUGGGGUAACGGCUCACCUAGGCCACGAUCACUGGCUGGUCUGAGCAGAUGACCAGCCACACUGGAACUAAGACACGGUCCAGACUCCUACGGGAGGCAGCAGUGGGGAAUAUUGCACAAUGGGCGCAAGCCUGAUGCAGCCAUGUCGCGUGUAUGAAGAAGGCCUUCGGGUUGUAAAGUACUUUCAGCGGGGAGGAAGGGAGUAAAGUUAAUACCUUUGCUCAUUGACGUUACCCACAGAAGAAGCACCGGCUAACUCCGUGCCAGCCGCCGCGGUAA
rnacentral:rRNA from 1 species